CCGUCCAUUCCGCCAACUUUUGUAAUCUUUUCAGGUUAUACAUAUUAGUAGGGGCGUAGUUCAAUUGGUAGAGCACC
rnacentral:tRNA from 1 species